GGAGAAAGCGCCAAACGCUCCGGCGCCGCAGGAUGCGACUGCGGCCGAUUAAGUAGACGGUGGGGUAACGGCCCACCGUGCCGAUAAUCGGUACGGGUAGUGAGAGCUAGAGCCCGGAGACGGACUCUGAGACAAGAGUCCGGGCCCUACGGGGCGCAGCAGGCGCGAAACCUUCACACUGCGCGACAGCGCGAUAGGGGGACCCCAAGUGCGAGGGCAUACAGUCCUCGCUUUUUCCGACCGUAAGGUGGUCGGCGAAUAAGGGCUGGGCAAGACCGGUGCCAGCCGCCGCGGUAAUACCGGCAGCUCGAGUGAUGGCCGCUAUUAUUGGGCCUAAAGCGUCCGUAGCCGGCUAGACAGGUCCGUCGGGAAAUCCACCCGCUCAACGGGUGGGCGUCCGGCGGAAACCAGCUAGCUUGGGACCGAGCGACCUGAGGGGUACGUCUGGGGUAGGAGUGAAAUCCCGUAAUCCCGGACGGACCAUCGGUGGCGAAAGCGCCUCAGGAGAGCGGAUCCGACGGUGAGGGACGAAAGCUAGGGUCUCGAACCGGAUUAGAUACCC
rnacentral:rRNA from 1 species